rnacentral:ncRNA from 2 species
GAAGCAGUUAGUUGGAAUGGGAGCAUCUGCAGUGAUUUGCCCAUGGCCAUUCCAGCCCCUUCAAUUUGACCCAGCGCCUCGUCGUGGUGAGCCUCAUGUUACACGGCGCACCCCAGACUACUUCCUAUAAAUUUCUCCUGGGAAACCUGCCUUUGUAUGUGGAAGUAUACCUGGCUUUUUAAAAUAUAUGUAUUUAAAAACAAAAAGCAACAGUAAUCUAUGUGUUUCUGUAACAA